GUCUACGGCCAUGCCACCCUGAACAUACCCUAUCUCAUCUGCUCUCGGAAGCUGAGCAGGGUCAGGCCUGGUUAGUACUUGGAUGGGAGACCACCUAGGAAUAUUAGGUGCUGUAGGCA
rnacentral:rRNA from 1 species